AGUGAACGCUGGCGGUAGGCCUAACACAUGCAAGUCGAACGGCAGCACAGUAAGAGCUUGCUCUUACGGGUGGCGAGUGGCGGACGGGUGAGGAAUACAUCGGAAUCUACUUUUUCGUGGGGGAUAACGUAGGGAAACUUACGCUAAUACCGCAUACGACCUACGGGUGAAAGCAGGGGAUCUUCGGACCUUGCGCGAUUGAAUGAGCCGAUGUCGGAUUAGCUGGUUGGCGGGGUAAAGGCCCACCAAGGCGACGAUCCGUAGCUGGUCUGAGAGGAUGAUCAGCCACACUGGAACUGAGACACGGUCCAGACUCCUACGGGAGGCAGCAGUGGGGAAUAUUGGACAAUGGGCGCAAGCCUGAUCCAGCCAUACCGCGUGGGUGAAGAAGGCCUUCGGGUUGUAAAGCCCUUUUGUUGGGAAAGAAAAGCAGCAGGUUAAUACCCCGCUGUUCUGACGGUACCCAAAGAAUAGGCACCGGCUAACUUCGUG
rnacentral:rRNA from 1 species